GGUGCUCUCAACGAUAUCUCUCCGACGUUCCGAAAACUUCUCAUUCUCUAAGUGAAUUCAUUGCUUUUCCUCGAAACUUUUCAAAAUAAUUAGCUUAAGACCGACAAUCGUUUAUGCUACAAAAGACCAUCAUUAGUAUCGAUAAAUCUAGAAUAGGUGGGCUCGUAGAACGUUGAGAAGUCGUUCAUAAAUAUCCAGUUCAAAGGCAUCGUAAAAUCGGAUUCAACGAACUCCACGCAGCCCUUGGACCUUUCCCGAUUCAGCCUUUCACCGGGUUGCAUUAGCAGUGAUACCGUCCAAGCAGCAACGUUCCAAUCCAGAAUAGAGUCCAAGGACCAGCACGGACCGACGUACGCUUGUGCAAGACGCAGCGCGCGUGUCUACCGUACUGGUCAAUCUAAUCCAUCGCCUCUUCUCUAAGACGGACGACGAAGGUGCGAGGAGAGCAGACACUCGUGAAAGGAGAACAAUCCGAUGAUCAUUUUCCAAUGGAACGAGACGCUGGUGCAUCCUUAUUUGUAGCUGACAGGACUCGUGGAUGCAAAACGCGGAUCGGGCUAUGAAAUGAGGGAGACGCGUCGGAAACGUUAGAGUGGCAAGGAAGAGCGCAAUUUUGGGAAGGAUUAGGCCAACUGGCCCGGAAACCGCAGCAGCUGCGGUACGCAAUAUGCGUCCACGGGUCCUCUGCGCCACGACGGAUUCUUGUGAAACGAUGGACAAAAUCGGAGGACGAGUCGAUUGAAGGUUUCUGAAUGAACGAUGCGUCACGCGCCUCUCAGGCGCCGCGUUAAUGCCGCCUUCCGAGUAAAUCAAUUAAAGGAUGAACUUCAACGAGACUGUGAGUCUCUUUGUUCUUCGGAGAAAGAGUAGAUAGAUUUAUUCGAUCAAACACCUCUAUUGAUGCGAGACAACGUGUUCAUCAAAUUUUUUACAAUUAUUAAACCUGGUGUAAUUCGAGCGCAGAGGUACUUUUAACUGACGCAUAAUGAUUUUAUCAAGACGUAAGUAUUGUGUACGAAUUCAUUAACACGUUGACUGCCGC